GGCUGGGUCAAACUGCCCCCCCCCUCGAGAUAACGAUAAGACCAAGGUCCCUCCCGGUUGUUUAGUCGUCUUGUCUACGUCAUUUUUUUUACCUAGGGAAUUGAGAAUCCUGGUUUCUGACUACCUAGGUAAAUGAGAAUCCUGGUUUUUGACAACCUAGGUAACUAGAAACUCUGGGUUUUUGUUUCCUGGGUUGUUGGAAAUGCCUGGGUUCUGAUUUUAUGUGUAAAUUAAAACCCCUGGUUUCAAUUCUAUGGGUAAGUGAAAUAGGCCUUUUCUGGAAACCUAUGGGUUAUCUAGUGUGUAAAUACAGUAUAAAUACUGGAGCUUAAGCUCAGGGUAUUGGGAUCACUUUUGAGAAUUCUCAUCGGUGUGGAUCUCGUGUGGUGGAAUGGAACAAUAAAGCUGGACCCUUGCUUCUUCUCACUCACGGCUGGUGUAUUUUUUCUAUCUCCAACUGGGCUCAGAGGUAGAUGUGAGUAUUGGCUUCUAAGUUGAGUUUUAAAUGUUUUUGGGUAAUAGGCUAAAUUCGAGCCAACAUUUGGCGACCCAGAUGGGACUGGGCUAAGAUCUACAUGUCUGGAAUCUCUCCCGUGGGACUUCGCUCUCUAAGCAACAGACAGGCCGUAUAGGAAAAGGCAUUGCAGACGCCUGUUAUUUCGAAGCUCUGUUUUAGAGG